UACGUAGGGGGGCAAGCGUUGUCCGGAAUCAUUGGGCGUAAAGAGCGUGUAGGCGGCUCGAUAAGUCUGCUGUGAAAGUCCAGGGCUCAACCCUGGAAGGCCGGUGGAAACUGUCGGGCUAGAGUCCGGAAGAGGCGAGUGGAAUUCCCGGUGUAGUGGUGAAAUGCGUAGAGAUCGGGAGGAACACCCGUGGCGAAGGCGGCCAACUGGGCCGGACCUGACGCUGAGGCGCGAAGGCGUGGGGAGCGAACGGG
rnacentral:rRNA from 1 species